UAUCUACUAUAUAGUGGGGAUACUACUAUACUAUACUAUACUACUGUAUAGUGGGGGAUGCGCGUCAUUUAGAACAUGCGCAUUUCCUCCAACAUGGACUAACAGCGGAGAACAAGUCCGCUGGACUGUAACUACAGAUUAGAUUUAAGUUGACUAUUGACUAGAAAGGUUGCUUCUAAGCUUCCUUAGUCAUAACUUGUAUUCUUGAACUUUUAGAUUUAACCAAAUUCUGAACUCAACGAAUCACCGAGCAGUAAUCGCGUUUGCGCGAGUAAUUUACAUUUGUGCUCGUAACAGUUUGUGUAUUUGUGAAAUUGACAUAGGCGUAGAUUCGUAAAUAUUUGGACUUUGGAGAAUGCAGAGAAUAAUAUGUGUUGAGUGUUAAUUAAAAAAGUAAUUAAUUAAUAAUUAAUUAAUUAGAAUUAAUUAAUUAAUUAAUUAGACGUGACAAAGUUAUUGCCUGUGUUAGUUAAUUAUAUGGAUAAGUGUCAAAAGUUCUCUAAUGAAAAAAAUGAGAAUAAUAAUGGAUACCAAUUUUGAGCUUUCUGCAAGUGGACAGAGACACCAAAAGAUGUCGAAUCAACCUCAAGGCAACCAGAGACGAGGAAACAAUUGAAAUUGACUUUAAAUUGCUUCAAGACUUGCUAUCAUUAAAAGAAUUGUCAAUUAAUUAAUUAAUUAAUUAAUUUGCAGGAUAUAAAAUUUAAAAAAAAUGUAUAUUAUAUUUUUAUAUAAUAAUAUAUAAUACACUGUAA